rnacentral:rRNA from 1 species
UACGGAGGAUCCAAGCGUUAUCCGGAAUCAUUGGGUUUAAAGGGUCCGUAGGCGGUUUAAUAAGUCAGAGGUGAAAUCCUACAGCUCAACUGUAGAAUUGCCUUUGAUACUGUUAGACUUGAGUUAUUGUGAAGUAGUUAGAAUGUGUAGUGUAGCGGUGAAAUGCAUAGAUAUUACACAGAAUACCGAUUGCGAAAGCAGAUUACUAACAAUACACUGACGCUGAGGGACGAAAGCGUGGGUAGCGAACAGGAUUAGAUACCCUGGUAGUCCAUGCCGUAAACGAUGGAUACUAGCUGUUCGACCAACAUUGGUUGGUUGAGUGGCUAAGCGAAAGUGAUAAGUAUCCCACCUGGGGAGUACGCUCGCAAGAGUGAAACUCAAAGGAAUUGACGGUGGCCCGCACAAGCGGUGGAGCAUGUGGUUUAAUUCGAUGAUACGCGAGGAACCUUACCAGGGCUUAAAUGUAAGUUGCAUAGAUCAGAGAUGGUCUUUUCUUCGGACUACUUACAAGGUGCUGCAUGGUUGUCGUCAGCUCGUGCCGUGAGGUGUCAGGUUAAGUCCUAUAACGAGCGCAACCCCUGUCGUUAGUUGCCAUCAAGUAAUGUUGGGUACUCUAGCGAGACUGCCGGUGCAAACCGUGAGGAAGGUGGGGAUGACGUCAAAUCAUCACGGCCCUUACGUCCUGGGCUACACACGUGCUACAAUGGCCGGUACGGAGAGCAGCCACUACGCGAGUAGGAGCGAAUCUAUAAAACCGGUCUCAGUUCGGAUCGCAGUCUGCAACUCGACUGCGUGAAGCUGGAAUCGCUAGUAAUCGGAUAUCAGCCAUGAUCCGGUGAAUACGUUCCCGGGCCU